CCUACGGGAGGCAGCAGUGGGGAAUAUUGCACAAUGGGCGCAAGCCUGAUGCAGCGACGCCGCGUGCGGGAUGGAGGCCUUCGGGUUGUAAACCGCUGUUGUUCAAGGGCAAGGCACGGUCUUUGGCCGUGUUGAGUGGAUUGUUCGAAUAAGCACCGGCUAACUACGUGCCAGAAGCCGCGGGAAUACGUAGGGUGCAAGCGUUAUCAGGGUUUAUUGGGCGGAAAGGGCUCGUAGGCGGUUCGUCGCGGCCGGGGUGAAAGUCCAUCGCUUAACGGGGGGUCCGCGCGGGGUACGGGCGUGCUUGAGUGCGGUAGGGGAGACUGGAAUUCCCGGUGUAGCGGUGGAAUGUGUAGAUAUCGGGAAGAACACCAAUGGCGAAGGCAGGUCUCUGGGCCUUUACUGACGCUGAGGAGCGAAAGCGUGGGGAGCGAACAGGAUUAGAUACCCCAGUAGUC
rnacentral:rRNA from 1 species